GAUGAACGCUGGCGGCGUGCCUAAUACAUGCAAGUCGAACGAACAGACGCGGCGCUUGUUCCUUUCUCGUUAGCGGAACACGGGAGAGACACACGUGUAUACCCCCCUUAUCUGUCUGGGAUCACUUCGAGACACCGGCGCUUACCCCGGAUAAUAUAUUGCAGCGUAUGGUUCAAUAGUAAAAGUCGGUUUUGCUGUCUCUUAUAGCUGGAUCUGCGCCGCAUUAGCUAGUUGGUAAGGUAACGGCUUACCAAGGCGACUAUGCGUAGCCGACCGGAGAGGGGGAUCGGCCGCACGGGAGCUGAGACAGCGACCAGACGCCUACGGGAGGCAGCAGUAGGGAAUCGGACGCAAUAGGCGAAAGCUUGACGGAGCAACGCCGCGUGAGUGAUGAAGAUCUUCGGAGCGGAAAGCUCUGUUAUGAGGUAUGAACAGAUGUGUAAGGAACUAUACACUGCGUGACGGUACCGGAUCAGAAAGCCACGGCUAACUACGUG
rnacentral:rRNA from 1 species